GCUGGAAUCACCCGGGGAUGUUGUUAAAAUGCAGACUCUGAUUAGUAGGUCUGGGUGGGUCAUGCGAGUCUGCAGUUCUAACAAGCUCCCAGGUGUUGCUGAU
rnacentral:pre_miRNA from 1 species